rnacentral:lncRNA from 1 species
GUGAAAUGUUUUUAAGCAUUGCUCCUGAAAGAUCCAAGGGCUUUAAUGGCUGCUGCUCUUAGGAUGUAUUGGUGGUAAAAGGCUGCAACGAAAGCACCAAUGAAGGGUCCAACCCAGAAUAUCCACUGAAAUAACACCGCAUGAAUUUCAUUUAAUUUUUUUUUCAGUGGAAAUGUAAAUUUUAUAUAUUUAGGAAAAGUAAAAGUAAAAAAAAGAAGAGGGAAAUUUACUUGAUCAUCCCAAGCUUUUUCUUGGUUGUAAAUCACAGCAGCUCCAAAGCUCCUUGCUGGAUUGAUGCCAGUGCCAGUGAUAGGGAUAGUGGCAAGGUGAACCAUGAACACGGCAAAUCCAAUGGGAAGUGGUGCCAACACCUUAAAUAUAUAUAUUUUUUUUUUUGCAUACAAAGAAAAUAAUUACUCAUAAUGUUUAUAAUUUGAAAAUUGAGAAAAUAAUAAUAAUAAUAAUAGUAGGGACUUAAUAUGGCAAGUUGGCAACCCUCCUAUAUGCCUAACCAUGAAAGUUCCUACUAAGGAAAUUAGUGGAAAAUUGAUUGUGUAUAACAAAGUCUACAUAUGGACAAUCUACAAAGAUCCCCUAAUUUUCUUUCAAUUUCUUAAUUUGACUCAAAUAUAAAAAUUGGUUCAUUUAUAGAAGAGAGAAGGGAACAUACAGGAACAUGGGAAUCCCUUGCACUCCUCUUGGGAUCAGUGGCUGAGAAGACAGUGUAGACAAGAACGAAGGUGCCAAUGAUCUCAGCACCCAAGCCGGUGCCCUUGUUGAACCCAUCUUGGAGCUCGUUGGCACCACCUCCAUAGCUAUUGUAGUAAGUCUUUUGGAAAGCCUUCACCAACCCACACCCACAGAUUGCACCCAAGCACUGAGCCACCAUGUACAACAGGGCUCGGAUCAGUGACACCUUCCGCCCCACGAACAGUCCAAACGUCACCGCCGGGUUGAUGUGUCC